rnacentral:tRNA from 1 species
GGCCCGGUAGCUCAGUGGUUAGAGCGCUGGCUUCCCAAGCCAGAGGACCAGGGUUCGAUUCCCCGGCCGGGUGG